rnacentral:rRNA from 1 species
UACGUAGGGGGCAAGCGUUGUCCGGAAUCAUUGGGCGUAAAGCGCGUGUAGGCGGCUCAGUAAGUCCGCUCUGAAAGCCCGGGGCUUAACCCCGGGAGGCGGGUGGAUACUGCUGAGCUUGAGUCCGGAAGAGGCGAGUGGAAUUCCCGGUGUAGCGGUGAAAUGCGCAGAUAUCGGGAGGAGCACCAGUGGCGAAGGCAGCUCGCUGGGACGUGACUGACGCUGAGACGCGAAAGCGUGGGGAGCAAACAGG